UGGGAACAAAUGACUCCAUAAACCAGAGGGC
rnacentral:piRNA from 1 species